rfam:Massilia consociata strain BSC265 scf7180000011450, whole genome shotgun sequence.
GAACUGAAGAGUUUGAUCCUGGCUCAGAUUGAACGCUGGCGGCAUGCUUUACACAUGCAAGUCGAACGGCAGCGCGGGGCAACCUGGCGGCGAGUGGCGAACGGGUGAGUAAUAUAUCGGAACGUACCCAGAAGUGGGGGAUAACGUAGCGAAAGUUACGCUAAUACCGCAUACGAUCUACGGAUGAAAGUGGGGGACCUUCGGGCCUCAUGCUUGUGGAGCGGCCGAUAUCUGAUUAGCUAGUUGGUAGGGUAAAGGCCUACCAAGGCGACGAUCAGUAGCUGGUCUGAGAGGACGACCAGCCACACUGGGACUGAGACACGGCCCAGACUCCUACGGGAGGCAGCAGUGGGGAAUUUUGGACAAUGGGCGCAAGCCUGAUCCAGCAAUGCCGCGUGAGUGAAGAAGGCCUUCGGGUUGUAAAGCUCUUUUGUCAGGGAAGAAACGGCUGCGGCUAAUAUCUUUGGCUAAUGACGGUACCUGAAGAAUAAGCACCGGCUAACUACGUGCCAGCAGCCGCGGUAAUACGUAGGGUGCAAGCGUUAAUCGGAAUUACUGGGCGUAAAGCGUGCGCAGGCGGUUUUGUAAGUCUGACGUGAAAGCCCCGGGCUCAACCUGGGAAUUGCGUUGGAGACUGCAAGGCUUGAAUCUGGCAGAGGGGGGUAGAAUUCCACGUGUAGCAGUGAAAUGCGUAGAGAUGUGGAGGAACACCGAUGGCGAAGGCAGCCCCCUGGGUCAAGAUUGACGCUCAU